UUCCCUGCUCAAUUUUUACAUCAUGAGGAAGCCAGAUCAAAAGGAUGUACUAGCAAUAGACGUUCAUGACACUGGAGGAGAUGGAGCUUUCUCCACAACCAGAACAAGUACCAUCAGGAUGGGAAAAGAAGGGUAGAAUAUGGCUGAAGCCUGGAAGAUAAUGUGGUGAUGGUUACUCCAGGGCACACCAGAGGACCUGGCUGACUCCUUCAGGUAUCUGGUGGAGAGUACUGACACAUUGAUUACAACAUCUAAGGCCCGACUGGUCUGAAGAUGGCUAAGUCAGUUAGAGACCCUGAUGCUGGUGUUGAUGGAGCUCAGAUUGAACAAGAUGCUCAGGUAUGUCCAACUUAAAGAACUGAGGUGUGUGGAAGCUGAAAGGGGCCCAGACUCUGAAGCAGUGUGUUCUUUUUACUGUCUGGGCCCCCCUCCCCCCACAAUCCGGCUGAAGCUAUAUGAAACUGUGGACUAGACAGAAUAAAUAUCUAAAGUUUAGAAAAGGCAGCAUACAUUUAUUUGGGUUUAAAAUACAGUAGGAGCACAGGUUCGGGUCAGAAAGAGCGGAGAGAGAACAAACAGGUAGAGCGACUGAAACCCUGCUGAGGGAGCGUGAGUGAGACGGCAGAGGCUGCGGCCUGCAGCGGCUGUGGGGCUCCAUUGUGCGGAGACCCCUGAGCAUCAAGCCCGUAUUUUAUUUUUUCAUCCUUAGAUGUUUUUCUGUAAUUGCAGUGGAAUUCUUAAUUCUUUAAGCAUUUUACAGCUACUGAGGAGCAGGGAUGUACCUUCAGCGUGAUGGGUUACUUCAUUAGCUUUACUUAACUGGUUCUGAUAAUGAAAUGGAAUUUGCACAUUAAGGAAAAUUUGAAAACUAGAGUAAAAUGUAAGAACAGUAGGCAACUAUCACAUUUCAUCAAAAAGUAAGUAGUUUCAUGAAUUAGCUUACUUUCUUCCUUGUGUUUUCCAAAUUUUUGUGAAACUUUACACUUGUGUAUGGGGGUGGGCAUUGUACCUGUAGUUUGAGAACUGCAGAAUGAAAUCUCAGUAACUGGGUCGAGAAGGAGAAAUCACAUUUCAUCAAAUCAUCUUGCACAGGUAAACACCAACGUGACCUUCAUUGAAAUCUUUUCCCUUGCUCUUCAUAAUUUAUCACCUAAGUGUGUGCCACUAAACAUUUAAUUAAAACAUGAUUUUAAUUCUGCCUGGUAGUGCAAAUUUAAAUGCAUUAAAUUGUGUAUACAUCUUGACUCUUUCAUCAGUAUGUGGGCAAGAUGAAGCCACAUUUUUUUGGCAGCUAGAGCCAGCUCGUUUUCACUGCUGUCUAAACCACUUGGUUCAAAGUAAUAAUAUUUCCAUACUGGUCUACAUACACAUCAUGGUUAAAGAGUAUAUUUCACUAAUACCUCCUAUGGAGGAAAUUCUACUUUUCUUCAUGUAACAUUGU